rnacentral:lncRNA from 13 species
UUUCAGAAUAUGACAUCUUGAGUGAGAAGAAAGAAGCUAAAUCAAUGACCCAAAUGUAUAUUUUUAAGAACAUCAAACUGUGGUUUCAUUUUAAUUUCACUAUCUCUACCCUGAUGUCCAUUAUAGCACAUGAGAAGGAGAUUCAAGGUCUUGACUCUAUUACUGGCUUUAUUCAGCAGUGCCAGAUCAUUAUAGGUGUUUAUAGUUACUAGUGUGUGCUCCUAAUAGAGUGGCUUAUUGUAAUUUCUCCCUUCCAAUUUUCCUUCCCCAAGGAAAUACCUGUAUCUCAGAUCUGUCUAAUUAACCAAUAUUUGAAGGAUGGAAAAUUAUGAGCAAUCCCUAUGCUCAUCAUUGAUGGGAUUUAAAAAGCUCAGUAAAGUUUCUAUGUACAUUUUCUUGUUUACAUGAUGAAGCAAAAUGGAUCAAACAAGCAAAGAUUUGUAUCAACAGAGAUGGUGCCUUUGUACAAUAUAACACAUACUGUGUAUCAAAGAAAUAUUGUGCCACUUCUUCCAAGCUGACAUUGGAAUGACAUUGUAAUCCUGACCAUCUGUCUUCCUCCUCUAGAUGUUGAUGAAUGUGCGACAGUGAAUGGAGGCUGCCAGCAGCGCUGUAUUAACACUCUGGGCAGCUUCCACUGUGAAUGUGAUACGGGAUAGAGACUGCAUGCUGACGAACGCACCUGCAUAAAUGCGGAUGAGUGUCUGGACGUCAGUAUAGUCGUGACCAACUACAUUAAUUCUGCAGGAAAAUACAAACGUAGUGUGAAGUAGGCUACAGAAUUGGAAAUGACAGAAAAACUGCCACCCACUGUCCCAAGGGUGCCUACGGAGCUGGCUGCUCUUCAGAAUGUCAGUGUGUGGAGGAGAACACCCUGGAAUGCAGUGCCAGAAAUGGUAGUUGCACCUGCAAAUCUGGUUACCAAGGCAACAGAUGCCAGAAAGAUGGCCUCUUGGGACCAGAGUGCUGGUUCUCCUAUGUGCCCUGUGAAAAUGAGGUCAGUGCAACAGAAAAACUGGAAGUUGUGACUGCACUCCUGGUUACACAGGAAAAGCCGGUACCAUAUAUAAGUCAUAAACCUAGACUAAAUAACCAACAAAGUUGAUAAAGGUGUUAGCUUUGUAAAUACUUUUCUUCCUGCUGUAGAAGAUAUUGCUAUGUUAGGAUACGUGUUCCCACUAUGUAUUGUGUAACAAACUACUCCAAUGCUUUGUGGCUUAAAACAAUGAUUUACCAUUUCUCUUAAUUCUACUUACUGCUGGUAUACCCUGGGGUCCCUCAUGUGACUGCUUUGGCUGGUAGAUAUUUGAGAACAGACUGUGUGGCUGGGCUGCUCAGCCAGGGAACUUGGCCUUUGCUCUAUAAAACAUUUCCACAAGGCUAGCUUGGACUUCCCCACAGCAUGACAGUUUUAAGACAAUAAAGAAGGAGCAUUCCGAAAGUACGUGGGCA